rnacentral:rRNA from 1 species
GAUGAACGCUGGCGGCGUGCCUAAUACAUGCAAGUCGAACGAAACUUCUUUAUCACCGAGUGCUUGCACUUACCGAUAAAGAGGUGAGUGGCGAACGGGUGAGUAACACGUGGGCAACCUGCACAAAAGAGGGGGAUAACACAUUGAAACAGGUGAUAAUACCACAUAACCAUAAUUACCGCAAGGUAACUAUGUAAAAGGUGACUAUACUACCGCUUUCGGAUUGGCCCGCGGCGCAUUAGCUAGUUGGUAGGGUAAAGGCUUACCAAGGCAAUGAUGCGUAGCCGAAUUGAGAGGUUGAUCGGCCACAUUGGGACUGAGACACGGCCCAAACUCCUACGGGAGGCAGCAGUAGGGAAUCUUCCACAAUGGGCGAAAGCCUGAUGGAGCAACGCCGCGUGGGUGAAGAAGGUCUUCGGAUCGUAAAACCCUGUUGUUAGAGAAGAAAGUACGUGAGAGUAACUGUUCACGUUUCGACGGUAUCUAACCAGAAAGCCACUGCUAACUACGUG